UGGCUCAGUUGGUAGAGCAUGGUGUUUGCAAUGCCAGGGUUCUGGGUUCGAUUCCCAC
rnacentral:tRNA from 1 species